CCGGGACAUGUGAUUGGAAGAAGUGCUCACCGGCCUCUUUAUGCAUUCAAAUAAACUGGAUAAUUUCCUUAAUAUAAUUGAGGUUGUUCAAAGGUGUAUGUGUUCAUUAGUGACACGUGGUCUCCUCAUUAUCUCUCCCUAAUCCUAAUCUUAGGUUAACCUAAUAUACCUGCCUAGCAUAUACUGUACAGUAGGAUACUCGCACUGAAAAAACAAACGAUUGAGACAAUCUAUGCAUAAAAUGUGUAAUAAAAUCAUCCACCUCAAUGACAUAGGCCUAACAAAUCAAUUGUCUCUGCUAAUUGUAGACCUUGCAUUUGUAGAUGGGAGGUGAAUUUACACUUUUAUUCAUUAUGUUUUUGAAAAUUCGGAUCUUCAAUUCGUCCUCAGAUUUACAACGAUUAAAUACGUUUCAAGAUGCACUGGCACACGUAGGCCUACAUCACUACACUUCCACGUAGUCACAGUUUGCAUUGUUGCGCGAAAUUCUCAGGUUUCCAGAUCCAUGGAAACCGCGGCGCGGCUAAAGACAACAACGCGCUCAUUACGCCCACGUCAUUUGGCUGCUGCUUGCUAUUGUGGUGUUGUAAAGCCUAUCAAACAUGUCAAAAUAUAAAGAGGGUGCCCUGUUCGAAUUAAACAUGCUACGAGAAACGUGGUGUCGAGUAGAGAUUGACAGUAAGUUUUGGGAAAGAGCAGAGAAGAGACAUUUUGACUGUCAUUUGCAAAACACCUGCGACUUCAAGUCGCUCCAGGCAGUGACUCCGGAGCAACGGUCUGCUUGGACAGCUGCAGGACAUAUCACCAAAUACCCGGAGCGAAAACACUUCGAAGAAAGCCACAAGGCCCAUCUGGUAUAAUGAAGCAGAGGAACCCUUCAGCACCAAGUGGAAUAUUUCUGAAAUAAAUGGCACUUAAAUUAUAUAUAGAAGUGUCCAUCACAUAUGCAAAAACACCUGUUGAUUGAGCAUUUUAUUUCACAAUUCCAUUUCAUUUUCAGAGACACAGCAUGAGAUAACACAACAUUAAAUUAAUUACACAACGCA